GCAAGUCGAACGGUAAGGUCUCUUCGGAGAUACACGAGUGGCGGACGGGUGAGUAACACGUAGGAAUAUGCCCUUUAGUGGGGGACAACCAAGAGAAAUUUUGGCUAAUACCCCAUACGCAGUGAUGUAAAAGAUUUAUCGCUAAAGGAGUAGCCUGCGUUUGAUUAGCUUGUUGGUGAGGUAAAAGCUUACCAAGGCGACGAUCAAUAGCUGGUUUGAGAGGACGAUC
rnacentral:rRNA from 1 species